rnacentral:rRNA from 1 species
GACGAACGCUGGCGGCGUGCUUAACACAUGCAAGUCGAACGGAAAGGCCCUUCGUGUGUCGCGAGUGGGGGACGGGAGCGGGACACGUGGGUGAUCGGCCCUGCACUUUGGGAUAAGCCUGGCUAACGGGGACUAAUGCCGAUUCGGACCACGCGCUUCAGGGUGUGGGGUGGGAAGCUUUUGCGGUGUGGGAUGGGCCCGCGGCCUAUCAGCUUGUUGGUGGGGUAAUGGCCUACCAAGGCGACGACGGGUAGCCGGCCUGAGAGGGUGACCGGCCACACUGGGACUGAGAUACGGCCCAGACUCCUACGGGAGGCAGCAGUGGGGAAUAUUGCACAAUGGGCGCAAGCCUGAUGCAGCGACGCCGCGUGAGGGAUGACGGCCUUCGGGUUGUAAACCUCUUUCAAUAGGGACGAAGCGCAAGUGACGGUACCUAUAGAAGAAGCACCGGCUAACUACGUG